rnacentral:misc_RNA from 1 species
GACGGAGGGCGCGAGCGUUGUUCGGAAUUACUGGGCGUAAAGCGCGGGCAGGCGGUUCGUUAAGUCUGCUGUUAAAUCCCGGGGCUCAACUCCGGAGAUGCAGCGGAUACUGGCGGACUAGAGACCGGUAGAGGCGAGUGGAAUUCCAGGUGUAGCGGUGAAAUGCGUAGAUAUCUGGAGGAACACCGGUGGCGAAGGCUACUCUCUGGUCUGUAACUGACGCUGAGGAGCGAAAGCGUGGGGAGCGAACAGG